rnacentral:misc_RNA from 1 species
GUGGUGGCACUUCUGCUACUGUUGAUUGGGGAGGAGGUGGUGGAGGUGCACACAGACAGGUGGCCUCGCCGUUUGGUGGCAGGACACUUGGAAAAAUACUUUUUGUCGGACGAUCAAAAGACCCCCUUUUGUUGUUUUCUAGUUCGAUGCCAAAUAUGACACGGUUACAUUUGUCACGCAGAAUUUGGGUAGAUUCUACGGAGUUUCCACGGCUUGAGUUCUGACUAGAGCCAGACAUAAUGAUGGAGAAAAAAUGAAAAGUUUGCAAACAAAAAUUGGACUUGCG